CUAUGAUGGUAUACAUCAUGGCGGAAGGAG
rnacentral:ncRNA from 1 species